rnacentral:rRNA from 1 species
AUGCCCAAGUUCAACGGAAGCAACGAUCCCGAAGAGUACCUAUCAUGGGCAUUGAAAGUUGACAAUAUCUUCCGUUUGCACAACUACGACGAAGAGAAGAAGAUCGCGAUGGCAUCCCUUGAGUUUCAAGAUUAUGUCCUCAUUUGGUGGGAACAAAUUAUCGAGCGCCGAGAGGCAAGAGGUGAACCACCCAUCACUACUUGGGCGCAAAUGAAGGAUGUCAUGAGAGCACGCUUUGUGCCUACCUACUACAACCGCGACCUCUUCAAGAAACUCCAACUACUCAAGCAAGGAACCAAGAGCAUUGAAGAGUACUACAAGGAGAUGGAGAUUGCCAUGAUACGAGCCAAUGUCAUGGAAGAUGAUGAGAAAACUAUGGCACAUUUCUUCAAUGGACUCAACCAUCCUAUCAAGAAGAUCACUGACUUCCAAGCAUACUCGAACCUCAUCGAGCUAGUGCAUCAAGCUACAAAGGCGGAAUGUCAAGUGCAAGACGAUUUCAAGUAUGCCAAGUUCUCAUCCAAGUCCUACGGCUUCUCCAACAACCAAGCUUCAACGACUCCAACACUGUCUAUCAAGCCUUCUACAAGCAACGUCGACAAGUCGAGUUCCAAGAAAGCUUCGGUAACUUCAAGUCAUCCUCCUACUACGAGCAACUUCAAGCCGAGAGCUUCAUCAUCAUCCUCUCCAACCGAUGAGACCGUCAAGACGAGCUCCUUCAAAUGCUUCACAUGCUGA